AUGAACGCUGGCGGCGUGCCUAAUACAUGCAAGUCGAGCGAACAGACGAGGAGCUUGCUCCUCUGACGUUAGCGGCGGACGGGUGAGUAACACGUGGAUAACCUACCUAUAAGACUGGGAUAACUUCGGGAAACCUGAGCUAAUACCGGAUAAUAUAUUGAACCGCAUGUUUCAAUAGUGAAAGACGGUUUUGCUGUCACUUAUAUAUGGAUCCGCGCCGCAUUAGCUAGUUGGUAAGGUAACGGCUUACCAAGGCGACGAUGCGUAGCCGACCUGAGAGGGUGAUCGGCCACACUGGAAAUGAGACACGGUCCAGACUCCUACGGGAGGCAGCAGUAGGGAAUCUUCCGCAAUGGGCGAAAGCCUGACGGAGCAACGACGCGUGAGUGAUGAAGGUCUUCGGAUCGUAAAACUCUGUUAUUAGGGAAGAACAAAUGUGUAAGUAACUAUGCACGUCUUGACGGUACCUAAUCAGAAAGACACGGCUAACUACGUG
rnacentral:rRNA from 1 species